UCGGGUAUGGUGUAACGGUAACAUUUCUGACUCUCAAUCGAGUUGAGCACUCAGGGGCCCGGGGUUCGAUUCCCCGUAUCCGAG